GUGUGGGAUGAUGGCAUACCAUCUUUCGCCUGGAAUUUCAACUUUGUAUUUUACUCAUCACAC
ensembl:snoRNA